rnacentral:rRNA from 1 species
UACGAAGGGGGCUAGCGUUGCUCGGAAUUACUGGGCGUAAAGGGCGCGUAGGCGGACAGUUAAGUCAGAGGUGAAAGCCCAGGGCUCAACCCUGGAAUUGCCUUUGAUACUGGCUGUCUUGAGUGCGGGAGAGGUGUGUGGAACUCCGAGUGUAGAGGUGAAAUUCGUAGAUAUUCGGAAGAACACCAGUGGCGAAGGCGGCUCACUGGCCCGGUACUGACGCUGAGGCGCGAAAGCGUGGGGAGCAAACAGG